CUGCCAUACCAUGCUGAAUAUACCGGUUCUCGUUAGAUCACCGAAGUCAAGCAUCAUUGGGCGCGGUCAGUACUUGGGUGGGUGACCACCUGGGAACACCGCGUGUCGUU